ensembl:snRNA U1 U1 spliceosomal RNA
AGACUCAUCUGGCAGGGGAGAUACCAUAAACAUGAGGGUAAUUUUCCCAAGGCAAGUUUCAACCCUUGCACUCCAGGUGAUGAGAGAUUGCUUAACGGGUACAAUGCAUGUGAUUUAGGUGAUGGAUAUUGUGGAACACUGACUUCAC